rnacentral:lncRNA from 10 species
UGAGUUCUACUGUAGAGACAUACAAGCUACAGUGAAAAUACAGAGAUGUGAGAAAUCAAUACCUCAGUGCCUGCAGGACCAGGAGUCUUCACAGAUGCACAGGCCAAGAGUUCGUUAUUUGUGGAGGUGGAUGUUUGAGAUGUUAAGUGUAUGGAGGUGGAGGAAUUGCUGAGAGGGCAGAGCGGAACUGCUGAAGAUAGCAUCCAUGUGAUCUUCCUCACCUGUUCCCAGAGCUGGGCACUCCUUGGAGAAGCUUUCCUGUGGACACAGACACCCACUUGCAGUGUCUAUGGUCACCCUGCCUUGAGAAAAGGGGCCUGUCAGAAGUAUUGACAACCCCCUUAACUUGUCCAUCUAGGAUAUGACACCACAGAUGUAAACUGGCAAUGGAGGAUCGCUAUGCUUUUAAUUACAAUCAUCAGAGAAGAUCAUAAUGCAUAAAUAGAAAGUUACAAUAAUCAAAGAAGAUCGUGAUGUAUAAAUAGAAAAAUCAUGAUCCUGGAAAAAGAGAUAACUCAAAGUAGAGAAAAGAAUUUUAAAAACUGAAGAUUCUUAGAGAUACAAGAAGAUGCUGUAUUAGUCUAUUUUCACACUGCUAUAACGAACUACCUGAGACUGGGUCAUUUAUGAAGAAAAGAUGUUUAAUUGACUUAUAGUUCCACACUACUGGGGAGGCCUCAGGAGACUUACAGUCUUGGUGGAAGGCCAAGGAGAAACAAGGCAUGUCUUACAUGGUGAUGAGAGAGAGCGAGAGCAAAGGGGAAGAGCCACACGCUUAUUAAACAACAAGGUCACAUGAGAAUUCUAUCAGGAGAACAGCAAGGGGGAAGUGCAGCCCCAUUGAUUCAAUUACCUCCCAGCAGGCUACCCCCAACACAUGGGGAUUACAAUUCCACAUGAAAUUUGAGUGGGGAUACAGAGCCAAACCAUAUCAGUCGCACAUACAUAAAUGAGAACAAUCUAUUAUAAUAAAUGAUUAUUUAGGAAAAAAAGUAGUUGUGGAAAUAAGAAUUUCAAUACAUGACUGAAUAAAUUAAUAUUCAAUUAAUUUCAAUAAAUGACUGAAAAAAUGACUAAAUAUUAGAAAAAUUAGAGUAAAAGUCAAGCUGAUGAUCUUGACAAAAUCAAGGAACUCUCCCAGGAUGUAGAGAAAAAGGGCUGUUAAAAAAAGUAUAUUAAAAAAGGCAUGAGAUGUAAAAGACUGAAGAGGUUCAGCAUCCCUCCCUAUAGAGUUUCUACUGGGGAUGGGAUAAUAAUGAUAACGGUAAUACAAAUCUUGAAGUCAAUUUCACUAAACCAAAGAAAAACUUAAGUAUGCUGAUAAAAAGUGACACUGAGUUCUGAGAAGGAUAAAUGAAAAUAAAUAAAUAAAUAAAUAAAUAAAUAAAUAAAUAAAUAAAUAAAAGUCCUAUCACCAAAUACAACUUGUGAAAAUCGAGAACACUAAAGGGGUAGAAAACAUCCUGACUGCUUCCAGAAAGGAGGGAGAGAAAACAAAUGAAACCAACCAACCAACCAACCAACCAACCAACCAACCAUCCAUCCAUCCAACCAAACAACCGAUCAGACAAACAAAAGCAUGUUCCUUGAAAAUGCAUGAGAAUCAAUAGAGCACGGAAGAUAUAAGUACAAUUACAGAAAUGAAUGUUGAAAACCUUGACAAUGUAAAACUUAAUCUUUUAAGGGAAAAGAAGUGGAAUGUAGUUCAAGUUUUAAAUUCCUCAUCUUUCAAUCUAAUAUUGACGAAAUAGGAUUUUACAUGUGUUCAGUGAAGAUAAAAGUGACUAUCUCAGAGAAGCAGAAUUCGUGAGAUAGGGGAGAACUUUUCCUUUUCUUUUUAGAGUUGGGUAAUAGUUUUUUUUUUAACCAUUUGCAGAUAUUAAUGAUUCAAAAAGAAUCACCAGGAGGCAGUCUCCUUACACAGAGGUUCAGCCCUUCUGCUCAGUCAUGUUUUGUGGCCAUGUGCCCUGGUUAGAGCCUCUCCCAGGCCUGAACGGUCAGGUUGGCCUCAUGUCCUUGUGGACUAGGAACUUGGGGUGCUUUGCUUACUUCCCUUGUGGAAGUGCAUGGUAUUUGGAAGAGCAGUGAGUCAAGAGGGAAAAAUUGGGGCGCUAACUCACUCGGUUUGUUAUUAAUAGUUUAACAGUUCAGGCGCAGUGGCUCACGCCUGUAAUCCCAGCACUUUGGGAGGCCGAGGCGAGCAGAUUGCCUGAGGUCAGGAGUUUGAGACCAGCCUGACCAACAUCGUGAUACCUUGUCUCUACUAAAAAUAACAAAAAUUAGCCGGGCGUGGCCUGUAAUCCCAGCUACUCGGGAGGCUGAGGAAGGAGAAUCACUUGAACCCGGGAGGCGGAGGUUGCAGUGAGCUGAGACGGGGCCUUGGCACUCCAUCCAGCCUGGGCAACAAGAGUGAAACUCCGUCUCAAAAAAAAAAAAAAUGUUUAACAGUGCAACUUACUAGUCUUUUGGCUCUGCUGCCUCAAUUCUUUCAUCUGUAAAAUAGAGAGGUUGGAUUAAAUUGGUGAAUUUCAAACUGUUUGCAGAGCUCUGAGACUGAUGGUGAAGUACUUGGGGAGGCAGCUCCUGAAAAUGAGGGGGUCUUAAGGGAGAGCUCAGAUUUUCCACUCCCAAUCCCACGAAAGCAGUUGUGCUUUGACCUGUUUUAAGCAUUGAUUUCCAUAUAAGAUCUCAUUUGAGUGAAGGGCACUGUGUUAAAAGGGUGUGAAUUCCAUGGGAGUAGACACUCUCCAGGGUUCUUUUGAGCUCUAAAGUCCUGUAAUUCUGAAAAGAACAGCCAUGCGCAAAAAGAGUUGUAUUGAAUAUUAAUAAACAAUCUCUUUUUAUUCUCUUUGAAAACAAAUUAAGGGAUAAAAGGUUCCUUUGUUACAAAUACACGUUAGAUUUAGGAAGAAAAUGUAGGGUUAAGUACAAUAUCAGAUUUUUAUUUCAAGUCGUUUUAUAAGCAUCACUUUUUAUAUCUGCAAAGUUUUUGUUUAUCAAGCUUCCUGAUAUGCAUACAACUCUACUCGCUGGCAAAUUUAUGGUUUUUUUUCACAUCCAAGGAAAAGAUAUGUAAUAGUUUAAUUAAAUCUCCCCCUACUUACUCUAUCAUGGUGCUUCUUAACCAUACAUUUUCCCUUUUUCUGCUGUCUGUGGGAUGAUAGAAAUGACAGAAAGGAGAGAUACUGCUUGGGCUGUGCAAAUGCCUGGAUAUAAAUUAAUCUUAAAUUAAUCUGGAAAACACUAAAUUAAACUAAUAUUUAAUAAGUUUAACUUUUGGGAAGUAAAUUGUGAUUUGCUCCAGUAUUUUAAAGUAGGUGGCUGCAGUAGUGUAGGGUCUGGGCAAUCAGACACCUCACUGGCAGCUUCACUGUAUUAGAAUGCCCUUGGUUAGGAUUUCUUUUUGAUAUUUCUCACUUUCUAAGCUAGAGCAGAAGUCUUUUUUUUUUCCGGUGACAUUUAUUAAUCUUUGCCCUGCUUUUAUGUAAAUCACCUCUCUACCUAAAUUUCAUGCUUUCAAUCCUUCAUGGAUCAAUCAUUUGCUGAGUUCCCACACUGUGCUGGGAGCUGGGAUGCUAUGGUGAACAAUACAGCCAGAUACCUGCCCUCCUGGAGCAUCAGACUGGUCACCACCCCUGUGACCAGAGAGUACAGGGUGCUAGGAGUGUGCAGAGGAGGGGGCCCCCGCCUGGAUCUGGGAGUUAAUUUCUGUAACCAUGAGGGCCCAUCUGCUUGACUCGGAGGUUCCCACAAAUACACAAACCACAUAGCCCUUCAUAAUUACUUGGUGCUUAGAUUGGUCAAGAUCAACAAGAAGAUGGACUUUAUCUGACUUUCAGAAUGAAAGUAGCUGUUAUGGUCACUCUGCCAAAGCAGGAGGGAAGGAGGGACCUCCCCUUUGGGACUACCCCAAUUUUGUCAGGAUGUCAAGACGGAUGAUGCCACACAUACACACACCAAGAAAGAGGGAGUGAAAAUAUCUUCCUUACACAAAGAAGGGCUUGGGAGAGAGCAGGGCAAGGCUCUCAAGCAGGUCUGGAGUGGCU